CAGAGGAAGGAUGAUAGACAGCAGACGACAGCUUGCAGAAGAAGAUGGGAGCGUUCUACCUGUGAGCCUGGUCGAGCUUAUAUUUUAUGGAUACACAUGCAUGGAUACACAUACAUGGAUUCCCUACAAGGACCCUGCGCAUCAAAAGCAAUCUGUCAUCAAUG